UUAAGCGACUAAGCGUACACGGUGGAUGCCCUGGCAGUCAGAGGCGAUGAAGGACGUGCUAAUCUGCGAUAAGCGUCGGUAAGGUGAUAUGAACCGUUAUAACCGGCGAUUUCCGAAUGGGGAAACCCAGUGUGUUUCGACACACUAUCAUUAACUGAAUCCAUAGGUUAAUGAGGCGAACCGGGGGAACUGAAACAUCUAAGUACCCCGAGGAAAAGAAAUCAACCGAGAUUCCCCCAGUAGCGGCGAGCGAACGGGGAGCAGCCCAGAGCCUGAAUCAGUGUGUGUGUUAGUGGAAGCGUCUGGAAAGGCGCGCGAUACAGGGUGACAGCCCCGUACACAAAAAUGCACAUGCUGUGAGCUCGAUGAGUAGGGCGGGACACGUGGUAUCCUGUCUGAAUAUGGGGGGACCAUCCUCCAAGGCUAAAUACUCCUGACUGACCGAUAGUGAACCAGUACCGUGAGGGAAAGGCGAAAAGAACCCCGGCGAGGGGAGUGAAAAAGAACCUGAAACCGUGUACGUACAAGCAGUGGGAGCACGCUUAGGCGUGUGACUGCGUACCUUUUGUAUAAUGGGUCAGCGACUUAUAUUCUGUAGCAAGGUUAACCGAAUAGGGGAGCCGAAGGGAAACCGAGUCUUAACUGGGCGUUAAGUUGCAGGGUAUAGACCCGAAACCCGGUGAUCUAGCCAUGGGCAGGUUGAAGGUUGGGUAACACUAACUGGAGGACCGAACCGACUAAUGUUGAAAAAUUAGCGGAUGACUUGUGGCUGGGGGUGAAAGGCCAAUCAAACCGGGAGAUAGCUGGUUCUCCCCGAAAGCUAUUUAGGUAGCGCCUCGUGAAUUCAUCUCCGGGGGUAGAGCACUGUUUCGGCAAGGGGGUCAUCCCGACUUACCAACCCGAUGCAAACUGCGAAUACCGGAGAAUGUUAUCACGGGAGACACACGGCGGGUGCUAACGUCCGUCGUGAAGAGGGAAACAACCCAGACCGCCAGCUAAGGUCCCAAAGUCAUGGUUAAGUGGGAAACGAUGUGGGAAGGCCCAGACAGCCAGGAUGUUGGCUUAGAAGCAGCCAUCAUUUAAAGAAAGCGUAAUAGCUCACUGGUCGAGUCGGCCUGCGCGGAAGAUGUAACGGGGCUAAACCAUGCACCGAAGCUGCGGCAGCGACGCUGAUGCGUUGUUGGGUAGGGGAGCGUUCUGUAAGCCUGCGAAGGUGUGCUGUGAGGCAUGCUGGAGGUAUCAGAAGUGCGAAUGCUGACAUAAGUAACGAUAAAGCGGGUGAAAAGCCCGCUCGCCGGAAGACCAAGGGUUCCUGUCCAACGUUAAUCGGGGCAGGGUGAGUCGACCCCUAAGGCGAGGCCGAAAGGCGUAGUCGAUGGGAAACAGGUUAAUAUUCCUGUACUUGGUGUUACUGCGAAGGGGGGACGGAGAAGGCUAUGUUGGCCGGGCGACGGUUGUCCCGGUUUAAGCGUGUAGGCUGGUUUUCCAGGCAAAUCCGGAAAAUCAAGGCUGAGGCGUGAUGACGAGGCACUACGGUGCUGAAGCAACAAAUGCCCUGCUUCCAGGAAAAGCCUCUAAGCAUCAGGUAACAUCAAAUCGUACCCCAAACCGACACAGGUGGUCAGGUAGAGAAUACCAAGGCGCUUGAGAGAACUCGGGUGAAGGAACUAGGCAAAAUGGUGCCGUAACUUCGGGAGAAGGCACGCUGAUAUGUAGGUGAAGUCCCUUGCGGAUGGAGCUGAAAUCAGUCGAAGAUACCAGCUGGCUGCAACUGUUUAUUAAAAACACAGCACUGUGCAAACACGAAAGUGGACGUAUACGGUGUGACGCCUGCCCGGUGCCGGAAGGUUAAUUGAUGGGGUCAGCGCAAGCGAAGCUCUUGAUCGAAGCCCCGGUAAACGGCGGCCGUAACUAUAACGGUCCUAAGGUAGCGAAAUUCCUUGUCGGGUAAGUUCCGACCUGCACGAAUGG
rnacentral:rRNA from 1 species